rnacentral:rRNA from 1 species
UACGUAGGGGGCUAGCGUUAUCCGGAAUUACCGGGCGUAAAGGGUGCGUAGGUGGUUUCUUAAGUCAGAGGUGAAAGGCUACGGCUCAACCGUAGUAAGCCUUUGAAACUGGGAAACUUGAGUGCAGGAGAGGAGAGUGGAAUUCCUAGUGUAGCGGUGAAAUGCGUAGAUAUUAGGAGGAACACCAGUUGCGAAGGCGGCUCUCUGGACUGUAACUGACACUGAGGCACGAAAGCGUGGGGAGCAAACAGG